rnacentral:rRNA from 1 species
GAUGAACGCUGGCGGCGUGCCUAAUACAUGCAAGUCGAGCGAACAGACGAGGAGCUUGCUCCUCUGACGUUAGCGGCGGACGGGUGAGUAACACGUGGAUAACCUACCUAUAAGACUGGGAUAACUUCGGGAAACCGGAGCUAAUACCGGAUAAUAUAUUGAACCGCAUGGUUCAAUAGUGAAAGACGGUUUUGCUGUCACUUAUAGAUGGAUCCGCGCCGCAUUAGCUAGUUGGUAAGGUAACGGCUUACCAAGGCAACGAUGCGUAGCCGACCUGAGAGGGUGAUCGCCCACACUGGAACUGAGACACGGUCCAGACUCCUACGGGAGGCAGCAGUAGGGAAUCUUCCGCAAUGGGCGGAAGCCUGACGGAGCAACGCCGCGUGAGUGAUGAAGGUCUUCGGAUCGUAAUACUCUGUUAUUAGGGAAGAACAAAUGUGUGAGUAACUAUGCACGUCUUGACGGUACCUAAUCAGAAAGCCACGGCUAACUACGUG